rnacentral:rRNA from 1 species
GAUGAACGCUAGCGGCAGGCUUAAUACAUGCAAGUCGAGGGGCAGCAGGUCUGUAGCCAUAUAGAUGCUGGCGACCGGCAAACGGGUGCGGAACACGUACACAACCUUCCUUCGAGCGGGGAAUAGCCCGGGGAAACCCGGAUUAAUACCCCAUAGUAUGGUGAAGAGGCAUCUCUUUACUCUUAAAGAUUUAUCACUUGAAGAUGGGUGUGCGGCUGAUUAGCUAGUUGGCGGGGUAACGGCCCACCAAGGCAACGAUCAGUAACUGGUGUGAGAGCACGACCAGUCGCACGGGCACAGAGACACGGGCCCGACUCGUACGGGAGGCAGCAGUAAGGAAUAUUGGUCAGUGGACGAAAGUCUGAACCAGCCAUGCCGCGUGGAGGAUGAAGGUCCUCUGGAUUGUAAACUUCUUUUAUCUGGGACGAAAAAAGGGAAUUCUUUUCCGACUGACGGUACCAGAUGAAUAAGCACCGGCUAACUCCGUGCCAGCAGCCGCGGUAAAAC